AUUGAACGCUGGCGGCAGGCCUAACACAUGCAAGUCGAACGGUAGCACAGAGAGCUUGCUCUCGGGUGACGAGUGGCGGACGGGUGAGUAAUGUCUGGGAAACUGCCCGAUGGAGGGGGAUAACUACUGGAAACGGUAGCUAAUACCGCAUAACGUCGCAAGACCAAAGUGGGGGACCUUCGGGCCUCACACCAUCGGAUGUGCCCAGAUGGGAUUAGCUAGUAGGUGGGGUAAUGGCUCACCUAGGCGACGAUCCCUAGCUGGUCUGAGAGGAUGACCAGCCACACUGGAACUGAGACACGGUCCAGACUCCUACGGGAGGCAGCAGUGGGGAAUGUUGCACAAUGGGCGCAAGCCUGAUGCAGCCAUGCCGCGUGUAUGAAGAAGGCCUUCGGGUUGUAAAGUACUUUCAGCGGGGAGGAAGGCGGUGAAGUUAAUAGCUUCACCGAUUGACGUUACCCGCGGAAGAAGCACCGGCUAACUCCGUGCCAGCCGCCGCCGUAA
rnacentral:rRNA from 1 species